AUUUGUUUGCUGUUUUCAGUUGCCCAUCUGAUUGGUGCAGUUAGGUCACAUGGUUGCUUUGGCGUAUCCUGUAAAAAUAUUAAAGGAUGAUUCUGAAGUCAAGGUCAACUCUGUGGCCUUGUCUGCGAAAUAAACUAGCUGGACCUUGUCUUCUUUCCUAGCAGUAACCAUGGCAAUAGCAGAAGCAGCAACCAGGGAAGGAAGUGACUGUGUACCCCGAACAGUGGAUUUUUUCGUGUUUGAUCCAACUCGGACUCCAAUAAGGGAUCAUUAUUCUUCUGUCAGCUGUACCAUAAUAUUUGUGCAUCUGUAGUUAUUAUCAUAAGUAAACAGAUUCUGGUCAUAGUUGGUCAGCCUCCAAUCUGUGGUUAGUAUAAAUAUCUCAUGGUCAUAUGGUGGUGGGUGAUCAAAAUUAAACAAUGUUUGGCAAGCGAUUUCAUGGAUUUGGAAAGGAAUAUAUGACUGUUACAUUGUUAAAAUGCAAUAAAUGGAUGUAAAAUUAACUAAAGGCAAUUUUCAUAACAUUCUAAUGAAGCUGCAAAUUUAUUAUGCCGAAAAUCAGAAUAUUUUAGUGUACAAAAAUGUACACUCUCUAGUAACAUGAGUAACAAGAACCGGAAUGAGAGAAAAAAAUUCAUAAAAGUUACCUCUUUGAAAUAACAUACAAUCAAUCUGUAAAAUCAAUGCAUUCACCUUGUUUCUAAAGAAAUAAAUAUUAUACAUUUG